GAAAUGCGAUAAGUAAUGUGAAUUGCAGAAUUCAGUGAAUCAUCGAAUCUAUGAACGCAUCUUGCGCUCCUUGGUAUUCCUUGGAGCAUGCCUGUUUGAGUAUCAUGAAAUCUUCAAAGUAAAUCUUUUGUUAACUCAAUUGGUUUCUACUUUGGUAUUGGAGGUCUUUGCAGCUUCACACCUGCUCCUCUUUGUUCAUUAGCUGGAUCUCAGUGUUAUGCUUGGUUCCACUCGGCGUGAUAAGUUAUCUAUCGCUGAGGACACUGUAAAAGGUGGCCAAGGUAAAUGCAGAUGAACCGCUUCUAAUAGUCCAUUGACUUGGACAAUACUUUUAUGAUCUGAUCUCAAAUCAGGUAGGACUACCCGCUGAACUUAAGC
rnacentral:misc_RNA from 1 species